rnacentral:rRNA from 1 species
UACAGAGGGGGCAAGCGUUGUUCGGAAUUACUGGGCGUAAAGGGCGCGUAGGCGGCCUGCUAAGUCGAACGUGAAAUCCCUGGGCUCAACCCAGGAACUGCGUCCGAUACUGGAUGGCUUGAGUUUGGGAGAGGGAUGCGGAAUUCCAGGUGUAGCGGUGAAAUGCGUAGAUAUCUGGAGGAACACCGGUGGCGAAGGCGGCAUCCUGGACCAACACUGACGCUGAGUGAGCGAAAGCCAGGGGAGCAAACGGG